rnacentral:misc_RNA from 1 species
UUGAUAAUUUGUAUUAUAACUCAGAAGGACGGUACGCUAGAGCAUUCUUAUUAUACUACCCCGGCGGGCGCCAUGGCGGCCGAGUCCCCUAUAGGGGCCCCCGCCGAGGCAACGUUACAGGUAUAGUUCACAGUGGGUUUGGAGCGUAGCUCUUCUUAUAAUGAUCCCUCCGCUGGUUCACCAACGGAGA